CUUCAAAUUCAACGAAUUCGGCUGCAAGGGUACCACCAGACGCAGCCAAAUGACCAAGAACCUUCGCAGAUAGUUCCAUCGAAUGCCAAUCCGUACUAGGAAGGGUCAUUCGUAAGUAAUUUGCAUACCGCGAAAGAUUAGUAACAUCUCCCUCACUUUCGAAUUCAAUUAGCUUGCCUAUCGCAAGGAUUCCUCCAAAUCUUUCGUGGGAAUCAUGGCUAUGAAUAAGCUCAAAAAUUCGACGAUUGAUAUCGUUAUUGAAACGCGCAAGGGAUUCACCUGAUAAUUCCUUAGUAGAACUAUGUACAAAUUCUUUUAAUUGAUCAGCGGCUGCUAGUUGAAUGCUUUCAUUUUUGUUUUUUAGAUCACUAAAAUACUCCAUGAAUCAAAGAGAGCGAGUGAAACGAUAGACUUUCUAAUAGUCGCGGUGUUCAAUUCUUCCACUUAGGCAUUCAUCACAAUGUCUACGGA